GACGAACGCUGGCGGCGUGCUUAACACAUGCAAGUCGAGCGGUAAGGCCCUUUCGGGGGCACACGAGCGGCGAACGGGUGAGUAACACGUGGGCGACCUACCCUCAGCUUCGGGAUAAGCCUGGGAAACUGGGUCUAAUACCGGAUAUGACCUUCCCUCGCAUGGGGGGUUGGUGGUAAAGUUUUUUCGGCUGGGGAGUGGGCCCGGCGGCCUAUCAGCUUGUUGGUGGGGUGAUGGCCUACCAAGGCGACGACGGGUAGCCGGCCUGAGAGGGCGACCGGCCACACUGGGACUGAGAUACGGCCCAGACUCCUACGGGAGGCAG
rnacentral:rRNA from 1 species